AAAAAAGAGAAGAAAAAGAAAAAAAAUUAUAAUAUUGAUCUUGAAAAAGACGAUAGUGUGAAAGCCGUCGUUGUAAAAAUUCGAGUAAACUGGAAUAUUACAGAUAAAGCCCAUGAGGUAUUAAAGUAAACAUCCACAACUCUCGAAAUCCUGCAAGGUAGGAUGGUUUUGAAUCAGUAAUUAGGUCUUAUCUGACCAAUUCUUGGAAACUACUAG
rnacentral:lncRNA from 1 species